rnacentral:rRNA from 1 species
AUUGAACGCUGGCGGCAGGCCUAACACAUGCAAGUCGAGCGGAUGAAGGGAGCUUGCUCCUGGAUUCAGCGGCGGACGGGUGAGUAAUGCCUAGGAAUCUGCCUGGUAGUGGGGGAUAACGUCCGGAAACGGGCGCUAAUACCACAUACGUCCUGAGGGAGAAAGUGGGGGAUCUUCGGACCUCACGCUAUCAGAUGAGCCUAGGUCGGAUUAGCUAGUUGGUGGGGUAAAGGCCUACCAAGGCGACGAUCCGUAACUGGUCUGAGAGGAUGAUCAGUCACACUGGAACUGAGACACGGUCCAGACUCCUACGGGGGGCAGCAGUGGGGAAUAUUGGACAAUGGGCGAAAGCCUGAUCCAGCCAUGCCGCGUGUGUGAAGAAGGUCUUCGGAUUGUAAAGCACUUUAAGUUGGGAGGAAGGGCAGUAAGUUAAUACCUUGCUGUUUUGACGUUACCAACAGAAUAAGCACCGGCUAACUUCGUG